UACGGAGGGUGCAAGCGUUAUCCGGAUUCACUGGGUUUAAAGGGCGCGUAGGCGGGCUGUCAAGUCUGGGGUGAAAUCCCACGGCUCAACCGUGGAACUGCCUUAGAUACUGACGGCCUCGAGGGAGAUAGGGGCGAGCGGAACUGUGAGUGGAGCGGUGAAAUGCGUUGAUAUUCACAGGAACUCCGGUGGCGAAGGCGGCUCGCUGGAUCUUUUCUGACGCUGAGGCGCGAAAGCUAGGGGAGCAAACGGG
rnacentral:rRNA from 1 species